rnacentral:rRNA from 1 species
UACGGAGGGUGCAAGCGUUAUCCGGAUUCACUGGGUUUAAAGGGUGCGUAGGUGGCUUUGUAAGUCAGUGGUGAAAGCCCGGAGCUCAACUCCGGAACUGCCAUUGAUACUGCUUAGCUUGAAUCACGUCGAGGUGGAUGGAAUAAUACAUGUAGCGGUGAAAUGCUUAGAUAUGUAUUAGAACACCGAUUGCGAAGGCAGUUCACUAGGCGUGUAUUGACACUGAGGCACGAAAGCGUGGGAUCAAACAGGAGU